UACGUAGGGUGCAAGCGUUGUCCGGAAUUAUUGGGCGUAAAGAGCUCGUAGGCGGUCUGUCGCGUCGGCUGUGAAAUCCCGAGGCUCAACCUCGGGUCUGCAGUCGAUACGGGCAAACUAGAGUAUUGCAGGGGAGACUGGAAUCCUGGUGUAGCGGUGAAAUGCGCAGAUAUCAGGAGGAACACCGGUGGCGAAGGCGGAUCUCUGGGCCUUACCUGACGCUCAGGUGCGAAAGCUAGGGGAGCGAACAGG
rnacentral:rRNA from 1 species